CUUACAUUAUUUAAUAGGAAAUUAUGGUAAAAAUUAUAAUAAAAUAAUCAUUUGUAUAUUACAACAAACAAUUUGCUAUAAUUAUAGAUUCCGAUGUACUUUGUCAUUUUUUUUUGUUUGAUACUGAUAGAUUGACAAUCCAUAGAAUUGUCGUUGGAUGGAGGAAUAUGUACUCAUUAGUGAGCAUCUGUCAGGGUAUAAUUUGGUAACACUUUUGUGAGAUGUAAUCCGAUUAGUGAGUGACCGUUUACAUUGACUAAUAUAUUUUUUUGGUAAGGUUUAAACAAGAAAUUUCAUUAAUUUGUAAUUUUUAUAUUGUCGUUGGAAGGUUCUGGAAAGUAUUAAAGGAGUAAAGAUUUAUAGAUAGGUAAGAUAUUAUUGUUAGAUAUAAUAUUUUCUGUUUUAUGUCAAUAUUAAUAUAAGGAGUAUCAUAUAGAAUUCGUUUCAAAAGAUAUGAGUUUUCAUGGAAAAGUUUGUACAAUUUUUUUCGCUUCGGUCGUUUCUGUCAAAUAUGUCAGCAAAUCGAGGAUAAAAUUUAUCAGUCUGGUGAUUUUUUUUUAGAAAUUCAGAAAACCAGUUUCCUUUUUUUACUUUCAAAUAUUAGCAAUGCAUUUUUAACAAAUCUAUGUUCAGAUCCCGCAUAAAGGAUUAUUAAACGUUUGCCUUUUUAGAUGGAUUUUUCACACCUGUAGACAAUCUUUAAAAAAAUAUGACUUUUAUCUUGAAUAGAUGUAUGUAUCCAUAUUUUAGAAUUUGUAUGACCUUCAUUUAGCCAGAUUUCAUCAAGGUAAUUAGGUAAUUUCUUCUUCAUCUCACAAUAUCGUUGCGUUCUAUCAAAAUACUCUUUCUAUUUCUUUUCAGUUAUUAAAAAAGGAGCUUCCAAUUCAUAUAAAAAUUAGUAUAAUUUGUGGCUUACCUAAAAUUUAUUUCUUUAUAUACUUUAUAUAAUGAUUAACGAGAAAUUUGUGUUAAGUCCGGGCAUUUUUUUAUUUCACCUACAAUUUUAUUCAAAAUUUGUAUUUUAUUUAAAAAAAAAAACUACGAAUAAUGCGUCGAAUUAUAUUUUUUGUUGUAUAAUCGAAGGUUUCUUCAAUUCCUGGAAACCUCCUCGAUGAUUAGAAAAGACAAUUAUACUAGUGUUUCUAUAUUCUUUAAUAAUUCGAAACAGUCGAUCUAGCAACUCCUAGAAAAUAAAAUUUGUAUCUUUUAAUUUAAUUGCCCGAUGUUUUAAAAUUUGAAACACGAUGGCAUUCACCUUUUUUUCUGAUCCAUCAUUUGAUAUUUGUUUAUACUAAUUCAUAAUGUUUUGCUUCACUAUAGCUGAUAAGUGCCCUAAAAUUACAGAUCUCCUUUUUUAGAGGGCGAAUGAUGUCUGCUACUAUUUGAAAUGCUCUCUGAGUCCAUUUUCAAAUCAGUCCUGACGAGAACUGUUUUCAUAUUUUAAUAAAAGAAUACUAAGAGACCAAGAUAGAACAAAAUGAACAUAAUAUAUGUCAAAUGUGCUGUGUAAAACCAGUUGCGAUUUGACCAAUCAAGAAUCUACAGUUUAAAUUUAAGUUUAGUUUAGAAACAGGGUAUAGUUCAACAACACUAAAAAGUAAGACCGCAUACUACAAGAAUGAGGACUGAAAAACUACGCCAGUACCAGAGCCUGCACGCACAUUCUCCAGAUUAUCCUCUCUCUGAUUAUUCUUAGUUUCAAAACCAAAACCUUUUAAGUAUCGCAGUUUUUCGAAAGUCUAUUUAAAAUGCACACCACAGCAGUUGCUUAUGGCGGGCCAUAAUGGACACCACAGCAAUAAAACGUUUCCAAUUUCAAACACUAGCUAUAAAAUAUGAAGGACCAUUUUCUUUUUUUCCUGAAGUGUGGACCAAUUUAAUAUUAGCUGUAUCGAUGAAAUGUAGAAAUAGGACCUGAUACACUAUUGAAAUAACAUGAUGUUAACCUUGGAAUUCUUAUGUAACUUUCUUAAACAAUUCCAUUAACCUUGUGACUAAUAUUGAUAUGCAGAAUUAUCCAUAUUGCCCAUUAAACUUUAAUGAAGUGAAAAAUCUAACCUUUAAAGCAUAUGAGUAAUUAUAAGGUUAAAAAGUAGAUUAAUUAAAUAAUUACACCUUAUUAUUUCUGACUAACCCGAGAAGUGAAAUCUCAUUUGUUUUACUUUCAUAUUUGCCGUUUGAAUUUUGACCUGAAUGUAUAAAUUCCUUGAACAAUCUGUUUGUUAUUAAGAAAUUGGACAAAGUUAUGUCUUCAGUCUUCUUAAUAGUUUGAUAUUUGUCUUACUUUUAUUUUAUAAUGAUAUGACCACAAAGGGAAAUGUCCAUAUUUCACAUUUUUUGAGUAUUAUAUGCAUUUUUAAAAACAAUUGCAUAAAUCAUUAGUAAAUAGCAUAUUGUGCAUAAUUGAACAAAUUUUAAAAGAUGUAGAGCUUUGGCGAGCGUUUCAAGACAAAUAAAUCUGCCAUUCUGGAACGAUUACUUUUAUUGCAGUUCUCAAAAAACUACUCUUAAAGUAGAUAGUCAAAAGGUUCAAUGAAAAUGUAUGGGUAUUCCCAGCCUGAAUUUCAAAAUUAUUCGUUUCAACCCCUUUUAUUUAUUUUAUACUUAUGAAAGAAUAACAUCAAUUUCUGUUUUUUACUGUUGAAGUAUUUCAUUAAUUUUUAUCAGUAAAAAGUCAUUUCUGCUUCAGUAUAGAUUAAUCCAUACAAAGAAAUACUUAUGGAUAUGGGAAAGAAAAGUGGACUGCUCUGGGAAGUUAAAAUAAUACCAUAUGAUAAAAAACUUUCAAAUGGACCAACAUGUGAAAACUUUUGGACAUAUUGCUAAAUUAGAUAAUAUUAAAUUAUCAAAGCUUCACAUAUUUCCUCCAAAAGCAUUGCAAAUUCGAUGUAUCAGCACUACGAAGGAACGACCUUAGUUCCUUAUAUUUGGAGGUAGUCGAGGAAAUUAAAGCUAUAAUUCAGAAUAAACAUUUUUUUUAUGUAUUGAUGAAACCAUCGAUUCUAGAGAACAUUAUUUUACUAAUUUAUUAAUAGCUGUUCUUAGCCACGACAUUCUGCCAAUAUCUUACCAUAAUGCUUCUAAAGAAAAAACAAAUACACUGACAAUGGCCAGAUUUGUAGAAGAGACUCUUUCAACAUUCUUUUUUCCUACGCUUGUUUCUGGAGAUAAUUUUUUUCUCAUUUUAUCAGAUGCAGUACCGUACACGAACAAAGCUGAGUAAAAUUUCAAAAAUUUCCUUUAGACAAAGUUAAUACAUGUUACAUGUCUUGCCCAUGUUUUAAAUAGGGUUGCUGAAGAGAUUACUAAACAAUUUUCUAUUGUAAAUAAUUUGAUAUCUGUCUAAUAGAUUUAUUUAUAUAUUUAUAUAAUUUAUGAAUCUAUUGAUUUUGAUCCUUCAAUAGUGAGCAAUUAUUAAAACGUCCCUAGCCCAUCAGUUAAUAUGGAAAAAAAUGUUACAGAUUCUCAAAUUCAGACAGGAGACAAAAAUUUUUAAUUCCAAACAUUAAGUAGUUUACUGUUUUUAAAACAAUGACAAUUUGUUUUGUCUGUUUAUUUUAAAGAGAAUAAAUAAAUUGAUGUACAUAAGA